UAUAUACCAUACACAGGCUAUUAUACAGACCCACAACAAACACCUUUACAUACCAUACACAGGCUAUUAUACAGACCCACAACACACACCUUUACACAGGCUAUUAUACAGACCCACAACAAACACCUUUACAUACCAUACACAGGCUAUUAUACAAACCCACAACAAACACCUUUACAUACCAUACACAGGCUAUUAUACAGACCCACAACACACACCUUUACACAGGCUAUUAUACAGACCCACAACAAACACCUUUACAUACCAUACAUAGGCUAUUAUACAAACCCACAACAAACACCUUUACAUACCAUACACAGGCUAUUAUACAGACCCACAACACACACCUUUACACAGGCUAUUAUACAGACCCACAACACACACCUUUACAUACCAUACAUAGGCUAUUAUACAGACCCACAACACACACCUUUACAUACCAUACACAGGCUAUUAUACAGACCCACAACUCACACCUUUACACAGGCUAUUAUACAGACCCACAACACACACCUUUACACAGGCUAUUAUACAGACCCACAACAAACACCUUUACAUACCAUACACAGGCUAUUAUACAGACCCACAACACACACCUUUACACAGGCUAUUAUACAGACCCACAACAAACACCUUUACAUACCAUACAUAGGCUAUUAUACAAACCCACAACAAACACCUUUACAUACCAUACACAGGCUAUUAUACAGACCCACAACACACACCUUUACACAGGCUAUUAUACAGACCCACAACAAACACCUUUACAUACCAUACACAGGCUAUUAUACAAACCCACAACACACACCUUUACAUACCAUACACAGGCUAUUAUACAAACCCACAACACACACCUUUACAUACCAUACACAGGCUAUUAUACAGACCCACAACACACACCUUUACACAGGCUAUUAUACAGACCCACAACAAACACCUUUACAUACCAUACACAGGCUAUUAUAUAAACCCACAACACACACCUUUACAUACCAUACACAGGCUAUUAUACAGACCCACAACACACACCUUUACACAGGCUAUUAUACAGACCCACAACACACACCUUUACAUACCAUACACAGGCUAUUAUACAGACCCACAACACACACCUUUACAUACCAUACACAGGCUAUUAUACAAACCCACAACAAACACCUUUACAUACCAUACACAGGCUAUUAUACAGACCCACAACACACACCUUUACACAGGCUAUUAUACAGACCCACAACAAACACCUUUACAUACCAUACACAGGCUAUUAUACAGACCCACAACACACACCUUUACACAGGCUAUUAUACAAACCCACAACAAACACCUUUACAUACCAUACACAGGCUAUUAUACAGACCCACAACACACACCUAUACAUACCAUACACAGGCUAUUAUACAGACCCACAACACACACCUUUACACAGGCUAUUAUACAGACCCACAAACGUACACCAGCUAG
rnacentral:lncRNA from 8 species